rnacentral:rRNA from 1 species
CUCAGGAUGAACGCUGGCGGCAGGCCUAACACAUGCAAGUCGAGCGGGGUUUUCGGACCUAGCGGCGGACGGGUGAGUAAUGCGUAGGAAGCUACCCGAUAGAGGGGAUACCAGUUGGAAACGACUGUUAAUACCGCAUAAUGUCUACGGACCAAAGUGUGGGACCUUCGGGCCACAUGCUAUCGGAUGCGCCUACGUGGGAUUAGCUAGUUGGUGAGGUAAUGGCUCACCAAGGCGACGAUCUCUAGCUGGUUUGAGAGGAUGAUCAGCCACACUGGAACUGAGACACGGUCCAGACUCCUACGGGAGGCAGCAGUGGGGAAUAUUGGACAAUGGGCGCAAGCCUGAUCCAGCCAUGCCGCGUGUGUGAAGAAGGCCUUCGGGUUGUAAAGCACUUUCAGCGAGGAGGAAGGGUGGUGUUUUAAUAGAGCAUCAUUUUGACGUUACUCGCAGAAGAAGCACCGGCUAACUCUGUG